GAGGGUAUAGCUCAGUGGUAGAGCACAUGCUUAGCAUGCAGGAGGUCCUUGGUUCAAUCCCCAGUGCCCCCA
rnacentral:tRNA from 1 species